UACGUAGGGUGCAAGCGUUAAUCGGAAUUACUGGGCGUAAAGCGUGCGCAGGCGGUUAUGUAAGACAGAUGUGAAAUCCCCGGGCUUAACCUGGGAACUGCAUUUGUGACUGCAUGGCUAGAGUGCGGCAGAGGGGGAUGGAAUUCCGCGUGUAGCAGUGAAAUGCGUAGAUAUGCGGAGGAACACCGAUGGCGAAGGCAAUCCCCUGGGCCUGCACUGACGCUCAUGCACGAAAGCGUGGGGAGCAAACAGG
rnacentral:rRNA from 1 species